rnacentral:rRNA from 1 species
GUCGAACGAUGAAGCCCUUCGGGGUGGAUUAGUGGCGAACGGGUGAGUAACACGUGGGCAAUCUGCCCUUCACUCUGGGACAAGCCCUGGAAACGGGGUCUAAUACCGGAUACCACUCCUGCCUGCAUGGGCGGGGGUUGAAAGCUCCGGCGGUGAAGGAUGAGCCCGCGGCCUAUCAGCUUGUUGGUGGGGUAAUGGCCCACCAAGGCGACGACGGGUAGCCGGCCUGAGAGGGCGACCGGCCACACUGGGACUGAGACACGGCCCAGACUCAUACGGGAGGCAGCAGUGGGGAAUAUUGCACAAUGGGCGAAAGCCUGAUGCAGCGACGCCGCGUGAGGGAUGACGGCCUUCGGGUUGUAAACCUCUUUCAGCAGGGAAGAAGCGAAAGUGACGGUACCUGCAGAAGAAGCGCCGGCUAACUACGUGCCAGCAGCCGCGGUAAUACGUAGGGCGCAAGCGUUGUCCGGAAUUAUUGGGCGUAAAGAGCUCGUAGGCGGCUUGUCACGUCGGAUGUGAAAGCCCGAGGCUUAACCUCGGGUCUGCAUUCGAUACGGGCUAGCUAGAGUGUGGUAGGGGAAGAUCGGAAUUCCUGGUGUAGCGGUGAAAUGCGCAGAUAUCAGGAGGAACACCGGUGGCGAAGG